UACGUAUGUCGCAAGCGUUAUCCGGAUUUAUUGGGCGUAAAGCGCGUCUAGGCGGCAAGGAAAGUCUGAUGUGAAAAUGCGGAGCUCAACUCCGUAUGGCGUUGGAAACUGCCUUACUAGAGUACUGGAGAGGUAGGCGGAACUACAAGUGUAGAGGUGAAAUUCGUAGAUAUUUGUAGGAAUGCCGAUGGGGAAGCCAGCCUACUGGACAGAUACUGACGCUAAAGCGCGAAAGCGUGGGUAGCAAACA
rnacentral:rRNA from 1 species